CGCGUAGGCUGUGCUGUAAGUCAGGCGUGAAAGGCCCGGGUUCAACCUGGGAACUGCGCAUGAUACUGCGGCGCUUGAAGGCGGGAGAGGAUGGCGGAAUUCCCAGUGUAGAGGUGAAAUUCGUAGAUAUUGGGAAGAACACCGGUGGCGAAGGCGGCCAUCUGGCCCGUGAUUGACGUUGAGGCGCGAAAGCGUGGGGAGCAAACAGGAUUAGAUACCCUGGUAGUCCACGCCGUAAACGAUGAGUGCUAGACGUCGGGGAGCUUGCUCUUCGGUGUCGCCGCUAACGCAUUAAGCACUCCGCCUGGGGAGUACGGUCGCAAGAUUAAA
rnacentral:rRNA from 1 species